UUUCAUUCCCUUCCAGUUGGAUAAGAUCUUCUGCCAGAGUUUAGUAAGUAUUCUGUGAAAAUUAUUCCACAUGCAGAUGUAUUUGUGGGAGGAGGAGAGCCCAACA